rnacentral:rRNA from 1 species
AGUGAACGCUGGCGGUAGGCCUAACACAUGCAAGUCGAACGGCAGCACGGUAAGAGCUUGCUCUUACGGGUGGCGAGUGGCGGACGGGUGAGGAAUACAUCGGAAUCUACUUUUUCGUGGGGGAUAACGUAGGGAAACUUCCGCUAAUACCGCAUACGACCUACGGGUGAAAGCAGGGGAUCUUCGGACCUUGCGCGAUUGAAUGAGCCGAUGUCGGAUUAGAUAGUUGGCGGGGUAAAGGCCCACCAAGGCGACGAUCCGUAGCUUGUCUGAGAGGAUGGACAGGCACACUGGGACUUGGACACGGUCCAGACUCCUACGGGAGGCAACAGUGGGGAAUAUUGGACAAUUGGCGCAAGGCUGAUCCAGCCAUACCGGGGUGGGUAAGAAGGCCUUCGGGUUGGUAAGCCCUUUUGUUGGGAAAGAAAAGCAGCAGGUUAAUACCCCGCUAUUCUGGCGGUACCCAAAGAAUAAACACCGGGUAACUUCGUU